CCAGACUCCUACGGGAGGCAGCAGUGGGGAAUAUUGCACAAUGGGGGAAACCCUGAUGCAGCGACGCCGCGUGAGUGAAGAAGUAUUUCGGUAUGUAAAGCUCUAUCAGCAGGAACGAGACAAGACGGUACCUGACUAAGAAGCCCCGGCUAACUACGUGCCAGCAGCCGCGGUAAUACGUAGGGGGCAAGCGUUAUCCGGAAUCACUGGGUGUAAAGGGAGCGUAGACGGCUGUGCAAGCCUGAAGUGAAAGGCGGGGGCCCAACCCCUGGACUGCUUUGGGAACUGUACGGCUGGAGUGCAGGAGAGGUAAGUGUAAUUCCUAGUGUAGCGGUGAAAUGCGUAGAUAUUAGGAGGAACACCAGUGGCGAGGGCGGCCUGCUGGACGAUGACUGCCGUUGAGGCUCGAAAGCUUGGGGAGCAACCAGGAUUAGAUACCCGCGUAAU
rnacentral:rRNA from 1 species